UACGUAGGGCGCAAGCGUUAUCCGGAAUUAUUGGGCGUAAAGAGCUCGUAGGCGGUGUGUCGCGUCGGCCGUGAAAACCUGCAGCUUAACUGUGGGCUUGCGGUCGAUACGGGCAUCACUGGAGUUCGGCAGGGGGAGACUGGAAUUCCUGGUGUAGCGGUGAAAUGCGCAGAUAUCAGGAGGAACACCGGUGGCGAAGGCGGGUCUCUGGGCCGAUACUGACGCUGAGGAGCGAAAGCGUGGGGAGCGAACAGG
rnacentral:rRNA from 1 species